rnacentral:rRNA from 1 species
CCCUUAGAUGUUCUGGGCCGCACGCGUGCUACACUGAUGCAUUCAACGAGUCUAAAACCUGGUCUGAUAGGGCUGGGUAAUCUUUUGAAAGUGCAUCGUGAUUGGGAUAGAUGAUUGCAAUUCUUCAUCUUCAACGAGGAAUGCCUAGUAAACGCAAGUCAUCAGCUUGCAUUGAUUACGUCCCUGCCCUCUGUACACACCGCCCGUCGCUCCUACCGAUUGAAUGAUCCGAUGAAUACCAUGGAUUGAGAGUACGAAUAGGUUCGCUUAUUUCUGCUGCUCGAGAAGUGGAGUAAAUCUUAUCAUUUAGAGGAAGGAGAAGUCGUAACA